rnacentral:lncRNA from 1 species
UUUGUAUAUUAUAAUUCGCACCAUCCAAAUUUUCUUUCAUCUGCCAAAUAUUACUCUUUAUAUCACAGAAAGUUAAAUUUAUGUCCAAUUACAUUAGCACAAAACAAAUUUUGAAUUAAUAAUCUAAAAUGGUGAAAAAUAAUACUUCUUUUUUGUUUUUUUUUUGAGGGAUAGGUAACACGCUACCCGCUUUCUUUAUUUCAUUUAGAAAUAAACUUAGCUAGAAAUGUGAAUCAACUAGGAUUCGAACUUGUGAAUUAACUAGGAUUCGAAUUUGGGUCUCGGGUACCAAUUAACCACCAAGCCUCUGCCACUUGCUCUAGGAACGGUUGGUGUGAAAAAUAAUACUUCAAUGCAAGUUAAUACCUAUGUUAGUUAAUUCACGAAUUAUUCAUGAAUUAUUGAAAAUCCGAAUUAAACGGCCAGUUUUUGAAUUUUUUCCAAAGAUAGAGAAUUAUUCGCGAAUUUUUGGGCUAGCCGAAUAAUUCGCGAAUUAUUCCCAAAUUAUUGAAAAUAUGAAUAAAAAACAUAUAAUUUUUAUAUUUAAAUAUAAAUUAUCUUAUAUUUAAUAUCUUAUAUUUUAUAUUUUAUACCGAAUCCGUUUUUUAAACCGAAUUUUUCAACGAAUUUAAAAAUUAGAAAACAAAUUUUAUACGUAUUAUACUCGUACCGAAUUUUUGCCGAAUCCGAAUUAACUAACUAUGGUUAAUACUACUCUCUCAAAGACACGAAGUAUUAAAC